UACGGAAGGCAGCAGUGGGGAAGUAUUGCACAAUGGGCGAAAGCCUGAUGCAGCUAUGCCGCGUGUAUGAAGAAGGCCUUAGGGUUGUAAAGUACUUUCAUCGGGGAGGAAAAACAAAACUAAUAAUUUUAUUUCUUGACGUUACCCGAAAAAGAAGCACCGGCUAACUCCGUGCCAGCAGCCGCGGUAAUACGGAGGGUGCUAGCGUUAAUCAGAAUUACUGGGCGUAAAGAGCACGUAGGUGGUUUUUUUAAGUCAGAUGUGAAAUCCCUGGGCUUAACCUAGGAACUGCAUUUUGAAACUGAAAUACUAGAGUAUCGUAGAGGGAGGUAGAAUUCUAGGUGUAGCGGUGAAAUGCGUAGAUAUCUGGAGGAAUACCUGUGGCGAAAGCGGCCUCCUAAACGAAUACUGACACUGAGGUGCGAAAGCGUGGGGAGCAAACAGGGAUUAGAUACC
rnacentral:rRNA from 1 species